GGCCAGUGCCCCUGUGUCAGCACACUUGGCACCCCACUGGCCCCCCUAAAUCUGGAAUCGUUUCUGGAAUUUUUUACCACAACCGAGCAAUUUCGGGUGCAAUGCACAGUUUGUCCUGCGAGUGGCAGUAACGAUGCUUGUGUGCCAAAAGGAAGAUUACGCAAGCAAGACGCAAACAAUGUCGAGUCUGUGCGUCUUCAGCAAGAUUACGUCUACAUCAUACAGUUAAAAUGAAGAGAAAAAUCCUAAGGAUAAUGUCCUUUUUUAAUAAGAAAACUAAAGAUAAUAGUCAGUCAAGGCUGGAGAAAGAAGAUGCUUCUGAAAAAGAGUCAGAAAUGCACAAAAGUUUAGAGAAUGAAGAAAGUCCAGUAGAACAGAGGACCCAUCAGCAAGGUGAUUUAGUUGUGCAGAGAGACAACUUUUGUAACCCUGAAAUUCCAUGUGAAAAACAUGAGUUUUUACAAGAGUAUUUAGUUAACAUGGCAUUCACAUGAAAGUGUGCCAAAACCACAUAUAUCACAUGUGAAAAUUUUGAAAUUCAUGUUUUUUUUCUUUGUGUAAAGGAAAUACCUGAUAAUGUGACUCAUGUUAAGAUGACUGCUUAAGUUGAUUUUUGGAUAUCUUGUUUAUGGGUAGUUUUUCAUUUAUGUAUGUACAUUUAAGAUGCAGAAAAGUGCCUAAAUGUUAUUAUUGUUGUCAUUGUUAUUUUGACUAUAUACAAUGUGUUGUGAAAUAAAUGACCAUGGAACAUUAA